AUAAGUUACUUAAAAGCGAAGAGUGGAUGCCUCGACUCCAAACUCCGAUGAAGGACGUAGCUAGUUGCGAUAAGCUUCGGUGAGCCGCUAAGCAGGCUUUGACCCGGAGAUUUCCGAAUGGGGAAACCCAUCCGUCGUCAUGGGCGGAUACGGUACACUGAAAACAUAGGUGUAUCGGGGGAACUCGGCGAACUGAAACAUCUUAGUAGCCGAGGAAAAGAAAGUAAAAACGAUUCCCUUAGUAGUGGCGAGCGAAAAGGGAACAGCCCAAACCAUUGCGUACGCGCAAUGGGGUUGUAGGACUUCAAUAUGAACUACGUUUCUAUUAGCCAAAGUGUCUGGAAAGUCACACCACAGAAGGUAAUAGUCCUGUCGGCGAAAAUAGGGCGAUGUUCUAGAAUGUUCCUGAGUAAGGUCGGACACGUGUAAUCCGGCCCGAAUCUGGGAGGACCAUCUUCCAAGGCUAAAAAGGUUUGGAGAUCAAUAGUGAACAAGUACCGUGAGGGAAAGGUGAAAAGCACCCCGGUGAGGGGGAUGAAAUAGUAUCUGAAACUCUUUGCUUAUAAAGAGUCGGAGCCCGCCUACGGCGGGUGACGGCGUACUUUUUGUAGAACGGGCCAACGAGUUAGCUGUACGGCGCUUGGUUAAGGGAGUUAUACCCGAAGCCAUAGUGAAAGCGAGGGUGAAUAACCCGUUUGUGUCGUGCACUAGACCCGAAACUGGGUGAGCUAUCCAUGGUCAGGCUGAAGCCCGCUUAACAGCGGGUGGAGGGCCGCACCAACCGUCGUUGUAAAGACGCUGGAUGAACUGUGGAUAGGAGUGAAAAGCUAAACGAACCCAGAGAUAGCUGGUUCUCCUCGAAAUAGCUUUAGGGCUAGCCUUGUGUUAAUAAUCGAAGGGGUAGAGCUCUGUUUAGGCUAGGGGGCGAAAUAAGUCUACCAAACCUAGAUAAACUUCGAAUACUUCGGUGAAUUUCACAGGAGUCAGACAGUGACAGCUAAGUGCCAUUGUCAAAAGGGAAACAGCCCAGAUCACCAUCUAAGGUCCCUAAUAAAGAUUAAGUGGUAAAGGAUGUGAAAUUGCGUAUACAACCAGGAGGUUGGCUUAGAAGCAGCCAUUCCUUUAAAGAGUGCGUAACAGCUCACUGGUCUAUGUGGUUUCGCGCCAAAAAUAUAACGGGGCUAAAAUCUUUAACCGAAGAUGUGAGUGGUUCCUGCUUUCGAGUAGGGAUCGCGGUAGAGGAGCGUUCCUGUCAGCGUCGAAGCUUGAUUGUGAAAUCGAGUGGAGCGUCAGGAAGUGAAAAUGUUGGCAUAAGUAACGAUAUUGAGGUGAAAACCCUCAACACCGAAUACCCAAGGUUUCCCAAGCAACGGCAAUCGGCUUGGGGUUAGUCGGGCCUAAGGCGAGGCCGAAAGGCGUAGUCGAUGGACAACAGGUUAAUAUUCCUGUACAACCUAAUUUUCGAUCAAGCAAUACCGGAGAGAGACUUGAUUCGACUUUUGAUCCCGCCUUCGGCGGGUGAGAAAGAAGAAUCUUGCCGAUUGAAGGUUGCGCUAGCUCAGGGGUAGCGCGGUUGGAUAUCCGGAGCGUGUUAAUGAAUUCACGUGCAAGCUGUAAGUUUAUGCUUCUCGAGGUAAAUCCCUUGAAGUUCGCGAGCAGCGAUGCAAAAUGUCUGCCUUUGGCGGAUGAUUCCGGAGAUUUCAGCUGACUAGAAAAACCUCGGUAGCGAGAAGAUUGGGUUUCCGUACCGAAAACCAACACAGGUGGGUAGGUCGAGUAGACCAAGGUGAACGAGAUAACUACUGCUAAGGAACUCGGCAAAACAGCAGGUGUAACUUCGGGAUAAACCUUGCCAUUCCUUUUUUUGUUUCGAUGAAAAAAGGGAAGGCCGCAGCGAAAGAUUCCACGCAACUGUUUACCAAAAACACAGGUCUCUGCUAAGUCGUAAGACUAUGUAUAGGGGCUGACGCCUGCCCAGUGCCAGAAGGUUACGAGGAUGGGUUCACGCCUUGAAUCUAAGCCCUGGUGAACGGCGGCCGUAACUAUAACGGUCCUAAGGUAGCGAAAUUCCUUGUCGGGUAAGUUCCGACCCGCACGAAUGGCGUAAUGAUGUGGAAACUGUCUCGGCAGUAGACUCGGUGAAAUUGCAGAACUGGUAAAAAUGCCAGUUAAUCAUGGAAAGACGGAAAGACCCCGUGCAGCUUUACUAUAGCUUGACAUUGUUUCUGGAUAUGACUUGUGCAGGAUAGGUGGGAGACUUUGAAGCUUCGACGUCAGUCGAGGUGGAGUCACCCUUGAGAUACCACCCUUGUUAUAUUUAGAAUCUAACUCGCGCCGUUAAUCCGGUGCCGAGGACAUUGUUUGGUGGGUAGUUUGACUGGGGCGGUCGCCUCCUAAAGAGUAACGGAGGCGCGCAAAGGUUCUCUAGGUCUGGAUGGAAAUCAGACCGAUAGUGUAAACGCAUAAGAGAGCUUAACUGCAAGACCUACAAGUCGAGCAGGUGCGAAAGCAGGUGUUAGUGAUCCGAUAGUGGCAUGUGGGUGCGCUAUCGCUCAACGGAUAAAAGUUACGCCGGGGAUAACAGGCUUAUCGGUUCCAAGAGUUCACAUCGACGAACCGGUUUGGCACCUCGAUGUCGGCUCGUCCUAUCCUGGGGCUGGAGAAGGUCCCAAGGGUUUGGCUGUUCGCCAAUUAAAAGGGUACGCGAGCUGGGUUCAGAACGUCGUGAGACAGUUCGGUCCCUAUCUUCCAUGAUCGCAGGAUUUUUGAGGGAUGCUGCUCCUAGUACGAGAGGACCGGAGUGGACGAACCUCUAGUGUAUCUGUUGUCGUGUCAGCGGCAUUGCAGAGUAGCUAUGUUCGGAGGGAUAACCGCUGAAAGCAUCUAAGUGGGAAACCCUUCCCAAGAUUAGAAAUCCCCAUUAGCCUCCCGGAAGACUACCGGGUUGAUAGGUCACAGAUGUAAGCACAGUGAUGUGUUCAGUCGAGUGAUACUAAUAGGCAAUUGAACUUAUUUCU
rnacentral:rRNA from 1 species